rnacentral:rRNA from 1 species
GAUGAGCGCUGGCGGCGUGCCUAAUACAUGCAAGUCGAGCGAACAGAUAAGGAGCUUGCUCCUUUGACGUUAGCGGCGGACGGGUGAGUAACACGUGGGUAACCUACCUAUAAGACUGGAAUAACUCCGGGAAACCGGGGCUAAUGCCGGAUAACAUUUAGAACCGCAUGGUUCUAAAGUGAAAGAUGGUUUUGCUAUCACUUAUAGAUGGACCCGCGCCGUAUUAGCUAGUUGGUAAGGUAACGGCUUACCAAGGCAACGAUACGUAGUCGACCUGAGAGGGUGAUCGGCCACACUGGAACUGAGACACGGUCCAGACUCCUACGGGAGGCAGCAGUAGGGAAUCUUCCGCAAUGGGCGAAAGCCUGACGGAGCAACGCCGCGUGAGUGAUGAAGGUCUUCGGAUCGUAAAACUCUGUUAUUAGGGAAGAACAAAUGUGUAAGUAACUGUGCACGUCUUGACGGUACCUAAUCAGAAAGCCACGGCUAACUACGUG